UACGUAGGGUGCGAGCGUUGUCCGGAAUUAUUGGGCGUAAAGCGCGCGUAGGCGGUGACUCAAGUCGGAUGUGAAAGCCCUUGGCUUAACCGAGGAAGUGCAUCCGAAACUGAGUCGCUAGAGUACGAUAGAGGGUCGCGGAAUUCCCGGUGUAGAGGUGAAAUUCGUAGAUAUCGGGAGGAACACCGGUGGCGAAGGCGGCGACCUGGGUCGAUACUGACGCUGAGGCGCGAAAGCGUGGGGAGCAAACAGG
rnacentral:rRNA from 1 species